rnacentral:rRNA from 1 species
UACAGAGGUCCCAAGCGUUGUUCGGAUUUACUGGGCGUAAAGGGUGCGUAGGCGGUGGGGUAAGUUUGAGGUGAAAGCUCCGGGCUCAACCCGGAAAAUGCCUUGAAAACUAUCCGGCUAGAGGGUUGGAGGGGAGACUGGAAUUCUCGGUGUAGCGGUGAAAUGCGUAGAUAUCGAGAGGAACACCUGCGGCGAAGGCGGGUUGCUGGGCUGAUACUGACGCUGAGGCGCGAAAGCCAGGGGAGCGAACGGG